CCCACCGUCUGGGAAGUGAGGAGCGCCUCUGCCCGGCCACCCACCGUCUGGGAAGUGAGGAGCGCCUCUGCCUGGCCACCCCGUCUGGGAAGUGAGGAGCGCCUCUGCCCGGCCGCCCCGUCUGGGAAGUCUACCACGGAGGCCAGAAGCAAUGUGGGGGCUGGACGUGGUGGCUCACGCCUGUGGUCCCGGCACUCUGGGGGGCGAGGCGGGUUGAUCACUUCAGGCUAGGAGUUCGAGACCAGUCUGGCCAACUUGGCGAAACAUGAAGAAUACAACAGACAAACCAACCAACCAACUCAAUGACAACAAAACAGGUCUACCCUGGAGUCAUACUCUAAUUUUUUCUAUUUUCCUCCCUUUCUGAUCCUUUAUCCCACUUUCUUUUUCUUCCUCUUCCUUCUCCCUCUUCUUUGUCAAAUAGAGGAUUGAGUUAUUAUCACUGA